UAAAACCAGAAACAGAUAAUCAAAUAGCGGGUCUCUCUGUAGCUGCGACUACCUUAGACAUUGAGCUACACUACAGACAACAGUGAAGAAAACACGAGGUCCUACACAAUGCUUGAAGAUUCAUGCAAGACAGUUGGAAGAUAGAGAAGAAAUUACUCUAGAUAUUGAAGGAGAGGCAAUUGGU